rnacentral:snRNA from 1 species
AGCUUUGCGCAGUGACGAUAACGUGAUGAAUGAGGCUCUGCCGAGAUGGGUUUAUUGCUGGUUGAAG